rnacentral:rRNA from 1 species
UACGGAGGGAGCAAGCGUUACUCGGAAUUAUUGGGCGUAAAGGGCGCGUAGGCGGCCUGCUAAGUCGAUCGUGAAAUCCCCGGGCUUAACCCGGGAACUGCGACCGAUACUGGUUGGCUUGAAUUCGGGAGAGGAAUGCGGAAUUCCAGGUGUAGCGGUGAAAUGCGUAGAUAUCUGGAGGAACACCGGUGGCGAAGGCGGCAUCCUGGACCGGCAUUGACGCUGAGGCGCGAAAGCCAGGGGAGCAAACGGG